AUUGCAGUUCGUACUUUUAGCGCAGUACUUAAGGUGGGAUCUGCCGUUUGAGAUACUGAUUGCCACGGCUCCCUCCAUCGCGAUCCAUCUGCGUUUCUCCCCGUGAUCAGACCGCGGGUUAUUUGCGCAGCACAUGGAGUAGGUGUGGUUGUAAACUCUCCAGUGCGUCUCUCUGCCUUUUUCUUUUUUUCCCUUUUUCCAAACAACGAGCCACGACAUGCAUUACUCCGGGCUGUGCGUUGGGAAAAGGGACUGCCUUCAACCCUUCUUACUCUUUCCGGAGGUCCGCAAAUUAGCCGGAGGCGUGUGAGAAAGACGCACCCCUGCAUGGGGCUGCGCUCGGGCUGAGGAAGGUCACUGCGCCGGGCAGAGUCGCGCCCACACCCGCUCGACGUUUUCGGGGGCUGCGUUUUUAUCCUACAGAUCGGGGAAUGACCGAACUUCGCCUAUUCAAACAGAGAACAAGCCGCAUUUUUAUUUCUUUAUUUCAUUUCUUUUCCUAGAAAAUGGGAAGCACCGUGAUGGACAGUAAGAAAACAGACAUGAAGAAAAAGGUCCCUAAGAAGAGGAGGUCGCUCCGGCUGAACAUGCCCGACCUGAGCUCCCUCACCAUGCCGUUCCUGGAGGGGGACACCGAUGACAAGGACAAGGACGGCUCGCACAAGGGGGCGCCCACGUGCCACUCAGCCAGCCCCACCAAGGGCUUCUUCAGCCGUGGCCCCUUCAGCCGGCCUUCCAGCCCCAUGUCGGCCCCCGCCAGGUCCAGGGUCAGCCCAGGGUCACCCAAGACCAUCUUACCAUACCCCUUCCACCAGGACUCGCCUCCCAAGUCCCCCCGUCGCAUGAGCUUCAGUGGGAUCUUCCGCUCCUCCUCCAAGGACGCCUCCUCCUCCGUCACCUCCACCUCUCCAGUCAGCAUCAAGCUCUUCUCUCGAGCCAGGAAAGCUUCUGGGCUCUCCUCCCCCCCUACGACACCCACCCAAGCAAACAAACAGCCCCCCUUCCCCCUGGAGGGUUGCCAGAAUGAGCCAGAGCAGCGGGAGACCCGGGUGCGCUCCUUCUCGUCACCCCCGGAUACAGGCCAACGUUUCACGCUGCUGUCCGCCAAACCCCCAACACCAGACUCAGCACCUGUCACAACCUCGCGACUCGUCCACGGAUCGGCUGAAGGCAUGUUGGAAAAGCUUGAACUGGAAGAUGAAGCUGUGGAAGAAUCAGAUAGCGAUAUUUACAUGCGCUUCAUGAAGUCCCACAAGUGCUACGACAUCGUACCGACCAGCUCCAAGCUGGUGGUGUUCGACACCACACUGCAGGUUAAGAAGGCCUUCUUCGCCCUGGUGGCCAAUGGCGUCCGUGCCGCUCCGCUGUGGGAGACAAAGAAGCAGAGUUUCGUAGGGAUGCUAACAAUCACAGACUUCAUCAACAUAUUGCACAGAUACUACAAGUCACCCAUGGUACAGAUCUAUGAACUGGAGGAGCACAAAAUCGAGACGUGGAGAGGUAUGUCGGUGUCCGUGAGCUUCUCUCCCGGCUGGGCUGAGCCGAGAUUGCACGAUGAACUUGCUUUCUACUUUCUUGCAGAGCUCUAUCUUCAGGAGACCUUCAAGCCUCUGGUGAACAUCUCCCCAGAUGCAAGCAUCUUUGACGCCGUGUACUCGCUAAUCAAAAAUAAGAUCCACCGGCUGCCCGUCAUUGAUCCUGUGAGUGGGAACGCGCUGUACAUCCUCACACACAAGCGGAUCCUGAAGUUCCUUCAACUCUUUGUUUGCGAGAUGCCGAAACCAGCCUUCAUGAAGCAGACGCUACAGGAGCUGGGCAUCGGCACCUAUGAGAACAUCGCGUUCAUCCACCCUGACACGCCAAUCAUCAAGGCACUCAGCAUCUUUGUGGAGAGGAGGGUGUCUGCCCUGCCUGUGGUGGACGAGUCCGGCAAGGUUGUUGACAUUUAUUCGAAGUUUGAUGUCAUAAACCUUGCGGCCGAGAAGACCUACAACAACCUGGACAUCAGCGUGACACAGGCCCUGCAACACCGCUCGCAGUACUUCGAGGGUGUCAUGAAGUGCAACAGGUUGGAGACGCUGGAGACCAUCGUGGACCGCAUCGUGAAAGCCGAGGUCCAUCGGCUGGUGGUGGUGGACGAAAAGGCCAGAAUCGUGGGCAUUGUGUCCCUGUCGGAUAUCCUGCAAGCCCUCGUGCUCACGCCGGCAGGUAUAGACGCUCAGCAUUCCUGAACCUCUGGAAACCCGAACCGAGCUCCUCCCCCCUCCCUGACCCCUCCCCAUGGGUCCCCACAGCUCGACCCACGACCCACGAAGACUUUGGGACGGUCUGAAGGUGCCAGCAAGAAGGGGAGCGAGGUUGAGUUAUAGACUGCUAUGACUUGAGUGACAUGUGAUGCUGCUGUAGGGGGGGUGACGUCAAGGGUGGAGACAGGGGGCGGGGCCUUGCUGGGGAGCGUUGGGUGGGGGGUGGGGGAUGGAGGGCGCAGUCCCUGAGUUUCAGGUGGCAUGCCGGAACGCAGGGUCUGGAACGUCAAUGGAUGACUGGAACAAUGAAGCAGAGAGCUGUUGGAGAUUUACUCUUUAAUCCUCCCCCUUCUGGCUUCUGUCCCUUUUGGGAGGGGGGGGGAGUCUGUUAUGAUAACCUUGCCAUUUUUAGUACCUCUGUACUCCACUCUCACCUCCACCCUGAAUCAUGGGGACAUAGAGAUUUUUGGGACUGGAGCAGGACAGCAGUUGUCCAGAUUGAGGCCCACAUGUUAGGGCAUGUAUGGGAUCCCCCCCCCCAGGUUUAUACAGGAUUAAGGGGCGGUGAGGGGGCACUGGCCACAUCUCUGUGUCAUGAGUGCCUUCUGUCCUCCAGAGUGUGCCGCUAAAAGGAGAACCUUUGCGAACAGUUCAGAUGAAUGCGAAAGUGGAUUUAAAGCAAGAAUCCGAAACUGUACAAAGUGGAUACGACUGCUGCCUGAUUUAUUUUUCCCCUCGAGCUCUGGGUCUGCAUUUUCAUUAAAUGUCUUUUAAAUAUACUGUAAAAUGAUAAUCAUUCAAAGCUUUAUUUAUUUUUUUUUUUAUAGUGGCGGAUUUCAAUUAACAGGGUUUGGAGGGAAAUGAUGGUUGUACCUGUCUUAUGCAUUAAAAUACUAGUGUGAGAUUUUUAACGAUCAAAGCAAUGCAAUGAGCAGCCGCUGUCUGAAUACCCACAGUGCACCUGUUCUUCGGUUUGUUCGGGGCAUGCAGCAAAAACGAGUGUUUUACCGUUUCAAAGUACUGAUUUUACUGUAAAUAAUAGAAAAGUUCAUAUUGAGGACACUUAAGUGCCAGAGAGGUAUAUUUUUUGUGUACGGAAACGUAAAAUCAUGUUUGUAAAACUACAGAUUUUUUUAUUGUUUUAUUGUAGCGUAUGAUGUUACAGGAGGGAAACUUUUUAUUCGUUGUCAAUUCACAUAACUGGCAUGGAGAUGACAUUAAUGGUAUUGUAGUUCUUUGUUUUUAUUUUGCUGAUUGAGAAAUAAACGAUGCUACUGAACCAACAUACUA